AAAGAUUAAGCCAUGCAUGUCUAAGUAUAAGCAUUAUACCGCGAAACUGCGAAUGGCUCAUUAUAUAAGUUAUCGUUUAUUUGAUAGUACCUUACUACUUGGAUAACCGUGGUAAUUCUAGAGCUAAUACAUGCUAAAAAUCCCGACUUCGGAAGGGAUGUAUUUAUUAGAUUAAAAACCAAUGCCCUUCGGGGCUCACUGGUGAUUCAUGAUAACUCCUCGAAUCGCAUGGCCUUGUGCCGGCGAUGGUUCAUUCAAAUUUCUUCCCUAUCAACUUUCGAUGUUUGGGUAUUGGCCAAACAUGGUUG
rnacentral:rRNA from 1 species